CAAAAGAGCAGAACAAUACUAUCAAAGAAAUAAAAGCUGAGAAUUUCUCAAAUUUGAUUGAAGUAGCACUACUCUACACCUGUAAGAAGGUGAACUACAAGUAGGUUAAAAGUAAAAAAGAAAACCCAAAUCCAGGCACAUCAUAGCCAAAAUCUUGAAAGUCAAAGAUAAAGAAAGCAUAUUGAUAGGAGCAAGAAAAAAAUGACCCAUCAUAUAAAAGGGAGCAAGAAGAUGAUUAACAGCUAACUUCUUAUCAGAAAGAAUAUGGAGGCCAAAUCCGUGGUAUAAGAUAUUCCAUAUACUGAAAGAAAAAGAUUUCAACCAAGAACUUUAUACCCAGAAUUAUAUCUUCACAAAUUGAAGGCAAAAUAAAGAUAUUCUUUGGGGCAAACAUACUAAGAGAACUUUUUUCUAGAAUGCCUUGACCUUGCCUUGCAAGAAACACUAAUGGGAGUUUUCUUGACGAAAGCAGGCAGUAAUUUGCAUCCAAGUGAAAAAACAGAGAGUGCCCUCAGCUUCUGGAAUGACAGCAUGAGGAGUUUCACUGACCCACCUCCAGUAAACUGGUGUAAAUUAUUUUAAAAAAAGAGUAAUGUCUCUGGAAAGCAUCUUAAGAAAAAACAGCAAAUGAAGAAUAAUUUAUUCAAUAGAUCUAAAAAAUUCUAUAGAAACACAAGAGUCUGCAGUAUUUGAACCAACAUGCCCUGCCCUCUCCCAGGUAAACAGGGUGGAGCCUCCACUCCAGGCUGCUUUAGCCAAGAACACAGCCAUCCUCUUCACCCAGCUCCCAGGGGUAGGGUUUUCUUCCAAGACAGAGCAGGAUGGCAGCAUUUCUCUUUUUACCUCUGUCUGCCUGUUGCUGGCUAAUUCCUGAGAGAGGGCAUUCUACAAGUGGGACUACCUUCUUCCACCCAACUCCCAGUUGUGGAAUGGAGGCUCCCCCUUCGGUGUGGCAUACUGUGAAUACUGCAUGCCUUCGGCCCUUCCCCAGCUCAUGAGGUAAUGACUCCACAGCAGGAGAGGCAAGCCAAUGAAACUGAGGCCACUGCUGCAGCUCCACUGAGUGCUUAGAUCCCACAGUGUGAGUGGCACGCAGAGAGAAGCUUGCCAUUGUCCCCACCUCGGGCUCCAGAUGCCAAAAACAUUAACAGCCAGUAUCUAAGCAGAAAAAAUGGGGCCAGAAUGCAGUAGGAAAACAUAUACAAAGUGCUCACAGAGAAAACUGUCAACCAAGAACCCAUACCCAGUAAAGCGACGAUUCAAAGAUGAGGCUGAACAAAUGACUUUUACAGAUACACAAAAACCAAAGUUAUUAUUGCUGGCAGAUCCACAUUAUAAGAAAUACUAAACUGUGUUCUUUAUGCUGAAAGAAAAUUACCAAGGAUGGUAAUUGGAAUCCACAUGAAAGAAAAAAAGGACACCAGGAAAGCUGAAAUUUGGAGCUGACGUCUAUCCAACAAGAUUCUUCUAAGAACUAAGUUCCAUAACACAUGGGAUGUGAGAGGCUGACUCACAAAGCUUGUGUGGAAAUAGUCGUGCAGUGAGGUGGAUCCCCAUUCAUGAAUGGAUACGAACUUCCACCAGUACACUGUUCGUUCCUAGAGGACGGUUACGACAUUUCCUUUUGCUGACCACCUCUUCUCUAUCAGAAUACAGUCCUCAAAGCAUAGUAGGGUAUCUUGUUAAUAAUUUGACAUAAAAGUAAGAAGAAAAAAAUUUAAAUCCAUUUUAAAAGGUAAAAAGAAUACAUGUAUGUGAAUUUGCCAAUAUUCACUUAAUAAUGUUUUUUAUAUGGGUUCUCUGUAAUGAAAAUGGCCAUGAAAGUAAGUGCAUUUUUAUCAUGUGGCUCUAAAAAUGUACAUCGAAUGAAUACUUUCAUCAAGAAUUAAUAGUAAGGAAGGUAAACGAAUGAGUACCUCCAACAUACAUCACUCUUUUAGAGGUGAAAUGUUCAGUGAAAAGAAGAGCAGGCCUGAUAUCAUAUAUGGAG
ensembl:lncRNA